GCUUCCAUAGCUCAGCAGGUAGAGCACUUCCAUGGUAAGGAAGAGGUCAUCGGUUCGAGCCCGAUUGGAAGCUCCA
rnacentral:tRNA from 1 species